AGCAUGGGCUUCGGCACUGAUGGCGAGUGGCGAACGGGUGAGUAAUGCAUCGGAACGUGCCCAGUCGUGGGGGACAACGUAGCGAAAGUUACGCUAAUACCGCAUACGACCUGAGGGUGAAAGUGGGGGACCGCAAGGCCUCACGCGAUUGGAGCGGCCGAUGUCUGAUUAGCUAGUUGGUGGGGUAAAAGCCUACCAAGGCGACGAUCAGUAGCGGGUCUGAGAGGAUGAUCCGCCACACUGGGACUGAGACACGGCCCAGACUCCUACGGGAGGCAGCAGUGGGGAAUUUUGGACAAUGGGGGCAACCCUGAUCCAGCAAUGCCGCGUGCAGGAAGAAGGCCUUCGGGUUGUAAACUGCUUUUGUACGGAACGAAACGGUCUUGGCUAAUACCCAGGGCUAAUGACGGUACCGUAAGAAUAAGCACCGGCUAACUACGUGCCAGCAGCCGCGGUAAUACGUAGGGUGCGAGCGUUAAUCGGAAUUACUGGGCGUAAAGCGUGCGCAGGCGGUUGUGUAAGACAGGCGUGAAAUCCCCGGGCUUAACCUGGGAAUUGCGCUUGUGACUGCACAGCUUGAGUGCGGCAGAGGAGGAUGGAAUUCCGCGUGUAGCAGUGAAAUGCGUAGAUAUGCGGAGGAACACCGAUGGCGAAGGCAAUCCCCUGGGCCUGCACUGACGCUCAUGCACG
rnacentral:rRNA from 1 species